rnacentral:rRNA from 1 species
AUUGAACGCUGGCGGAAUGCUUUACACAUGCAAGUCGAGCGGCAGCGCGGGGCAACCUGGCGGCGAGCGGCGAACGGGUGAGUAAUGCAUCGGAACGUACCCAGUCGUGGGGGGAUAACUGUCCGAAAGGACAGCUAAUACCGCAUACGUCCUGCGGGAGAAAGCGGGGGAUCGCAAGACCUCGCGCGAUUGGAGCGGCCGAUGCCGGAUUAGCUAGUUGGUAGGGUAAAGGCCUACCAAGGCGACGAUCCGUAGCUGGUCUGAGAGGACGACCAGCCACACUGGAACUGAGACACGGUCCAGACUCCUACGGGAGGCAGCAGUGGGGAAUUUUGGACAAUGGGGGGCAACCCUGAUCCAGCCAUUCCGCGUGAGUGAAGAAGGCCUCGGUUGUAA